ensembl:lncRNA
AAAAUGUCGCGAGGGUGUCUGUGCCCCAUCUGGUGGCCAUUGGAUGAAGGCCGGCACUCAUCCUCACAAAGGCUCGGAGUGUUCCUCGCUGUGCACAUCUAAGUGCCCUUAAGGGGGGGUACCCAAGUGGUCCUCUGCUGGCGUUGUGUGCAGCAGAAGCAUCUGCUUUGCAUCCUUAUGAAGAUAAGGGCAACAGCAUCUUUCCUGCUCUCUUAUCGUGACGUGACAGGGAGCCGUCCUGUCCUCACUCUGAGGGCAGUGACCUCUCUGCUUUCAUUGCAGAUGUUUUUUUUUUCUAAGUACCGUUGUUUAUUCUCUUACUUCUGUGCAUUUAUUUAUUUAUUUGUCUGUGAACUUGUUUUCUUCCUUGUUAGCUCAUGGAGGGAGCCUUGUUCAGUUGGAAACGCCACGCAUGGUGAGAAGGGUCGGCUUCUUAUCCGACAGCCAGAGCCCCUUUGGUUCCGGGAUGAAGACUCAGCCUGUUCCAAGGAACCAAACCCCAAUAACUGAUCACAAUCAAUGAUCCAUUGCCAUCAGCAGGUAUUCUUUAUUAUAUAGGGACAGAGAACAGUGCUAACACCCAAAGCAGUUUUCUCCCUUUGUUUCUGCGUGCAUGCUUGUAUUUACAAAAAUAUGACAUAUUCGUUAGAUGUCCACAAAGCCUGAUACAUGGUCACACUAUUUCCCCAAAUGCCCAUAUCUCUUCCAGGAUCUCUGUCUCCCUCCCCUUUCCUUCCUUUCUAUGGUUUCUUUCUUCCAAAUGGAUUUGAGUUGGAGGUCGCACACCCUCAAUUCGGUGGUCCCUCAGGCAGCUUUGGCUCACGGAACUGCAGUGUUCUCACUCAACACAAACACUGGCUCCUCCUUACUCUGAGUUAUCGUGGUUUUUGUAUGCUGUGCAGUUAUUGAUCUAUGAAGCUUAACUCCUGUGCUUAUUGCAAGGCGCAGUUAAUUUCUCAAUCUGAUUCUUCAGAUGGUUUUUCUGGAAAAGAAAUAAAAAGGAACGGAUGCUGAGGUGGGACAGCUUGUCAUGCCAUGGGAAACCCCGUAUUGCUUUGGUUUGGGAAAGACUCACCCUAUUCUUCAGUUUCUACCACUGGAAAAAAGGAAUAGAAAAGCAACACACGAUGAGAUGGGACAGCUUGUCAUCCCAUGGAUUGCCCCAUAUUCCUUUGGUUUGGGGACAAAGACUCACCCACUGCUUCAGUUUGUUCUGCUGGGAAAGAGAGAAAAGCACCACACGAUGAGAGGAACAUCUCAUCCCACAGCUCACACAGGAAGACCCCAACGAUUUUAAUAUGGGAGGGGAGACUCACCCAUCUCCUCAUGGCGCUCCUCUGGCAAAGAAGGAGAAAAGCAGUGCAUGGUCAGAGGGGAUUUUUCAUGCCAUACGCAGUCCCUUGAAAGGACCCCAAAUACCCUCAGUUCAGUGACUGCAACUUACUCAGCUCCGAUUUCUGUUCCUC